rnacentral:rRNA from 1 species
CUACGGGACGCACCAGUGGGGAAUAUUGCACAAUGGAGGAAACCCUGAUGCAGCAACGCCGCGUGGAGGAUGACACUUUUCGGAGUGUAAACUCCUUUUAUAUAGGAAGAAGAUGACGGUACUAUAUGAAUAAGCGCCGGCUAACUCCGUGCCAGCAGCCGCGGUAAUACGGAGGGCGCAAGCGUUACUCGGAAUCACUGGGCGUAAAGAGCGUGUAGGCGGAUUAAAAAGUCAGAAGUGAAAUCCUAUAGCUUAACUAUAGAACUGCUUCUGAAACUCUUAAUCUAGAAUAUGGGAGAGGUAGAUGGAAUUUCUGGUGUAGGGGUAAAAUCCGUAGAGAUCAGAAGGAAUACCGAUUGCGAAGGCGAUCUACUAGAACAUUAUUGACGCUGAGACGCGAAAGCGUGGGGAGCAAACAGGAUUAGAUACCCUCGUAGUC